UUGGGUUCCUGAUGCUGCCAUGGGCUCCAGGCUCCUCUGCUGGGUGACUCUCUGCCUCCUGGGAGCAGGCCUGGUAGAUUCUGAAGUCACCCAGACACCCAAGUACCGGAUCAAAUCAGGAGAACAGCAAGUGACGCUGAGAUGUUUCCCUGAAUCUGGACACCGCUCUGUGUACUGGUACCAACAGGCCCUGGGCCAGGGCCCCCAAUUCCUCAUUCAAUAUUACAACAGGGAAGUUAGUGAGAAAGGAAACAUAUCAGAUCGAUUCUCAGGAAAACAGUUCAGUGAUCUUUGCUCAGAGCUGAACCUGAACUCCUUGGAGCUGACAGACUCAGCCCUGUAUCUCUGUGCCAGCAGCCAAGACACAGCCCUGCGUGAUCAGGUGUCUCUGGGACAAAAACACCCCUGCCCCAGCUCAGGAAGUGUUGCCCCGUGUGUCAGCUGCCAGCCUGCCAAGCCCAGUCUCUGGUAGAGCGAUAGACUUUCCCAGACAUUCAUUUCUUUAUAUGCUUUAAUGCUCACUAAGAUCAUCAAGAUAAGUAUUAUUUUAACUGUUUGUACAUCUGAGGGGACGGGAAUUGCCCAGAUCUCAUACUUCAUAACUUACAACUAGGCUUCCGCUCAAGUUUGUUCUCAGCACCUGUGGUUCCGUUCCUCAUGGAAAUGGCUCCAUACAGAGCAAAUUCCAUAUCCGUG